UCCCUGGUGGCUCAAUGGUAAAGAACCCACCUGCAAUGUGGGAGACCUGGUUUCAAUUCCCAGGUUGGGAA
rnacentral:tRNA from 1 species